UUUAGCCAUUUUUGGACUUUCCCUAACCUAGAGACCCUCCAAAACACAAAAGUUUGUCAUCUCUAACCUUCAGAAGAUCAGCCGCAAAAAACCAAAGAAAGCCCCCCCCCCCUGAACGUCUUCAACAGAGAAGCAACUCCGCCUGCAUCCCUAUCUCCGAAGUCACACACACUAGAAGAGAAAAAGGCUGGACCUUCUUCUUCUUUCGAUUUUCAGCAGCGGCUGCUGCUUCUUCACUUCACACCACCAAAUGUCAGCCACCAACCGUCAUCGCGACCCCACCCUCUCACCACCAAGCAGUGUCUCCACAUGCAAUCGAGACAUCUUCCUCUCGAAUUCAAACAUAGAGAUCCACUAGCCCGUCAUCCCUAUUUCUAUCUAUCUCCUGCACAAAAUCCAUUGAAACCCACUGUAAUACUAUUGUCCCCGUAAUCAGUGGUCGAGCCUAUCGGAAACUUUAAGCAAUUGGUUUCUAUCCCUUGCAUCAUCUUUCAUUAUCGGUGAAUCUCUAUUGUAUGCCAUUUUCAACCCAUCAAGUUAGUGUUUAGUGAGAUUUUUUGGCGAAAAUCCUGUCCGAGGUUCCGGUGCUCGUGUUUCAAAGUUGCCGUAGAAUUAAGCUUCAGAUUCAUUGAGGUAUUUUCACAACCCCUGAAAUGACAAGUUUAAGUGCUAACAGUGUUUAAAUGGGAAUGGACUUUUCAGAUCCAGUUUUAUUUCGUUUAGUAUCUACUAUGUCAAUUGUUUUAGUAAUUAUUGUUUUCUAGUUGUGAUUAAGUAUUAGCAUUAGCAUUCUAUUCUUUAGUAAGUUUCAAAGUUCAAAUGUUCAGAGUUAAGUUUGUAUAGGUUCUAGUUGUAAUUUUGGGACUGUAUUAAACUAUGGUUUGUGAGGUUACCAUAUGAGUUUAGGUGACUGAACAUUUUUAGCUUGCUUGCUAUUAAUUCUGUAAAUACUCAUAUAUAGAUGUUAGAAUUAGACAA